rnacentral:lncRNA from 1 species
CCAUGUUGGGUCACUGAAGAUGUAGUUUCUGCUGACUUCGGUGACAUUUUAGAAGAGCGUGUAAGUGAAAUGAUAGAGUUAUUUGAAAACUUCCCACAGAAAGAAUGGAGUUACUUUCUCCUUACCAAGCAAGCCUGGUUAUAUGAACACAAACGUAAGUUUUUAAUUUAUUUGUUUGCAAAAUUAUUUGAAAUUGCUAUUGAUAUUAACU